rnacentral:rRNA from 1 species
UAGAUACCCUGGUAGUCCGCACAGUAAACGAUGGAUGCCCGUUGUUAGUUCACUUAUGAAUUAGCGACCAAGCGAAAGCAUUAAGCAUCCCACCUGGGGAGUACGCCGGCAACGGUGAAACUCAAAGGAAUUGACGGGGGCCCGCACAAGCGGAGGAACAUGUGGUUUAAUUCGAUGAUACGCGAGGAACCUUACCCGGGCUUGAAUUGCAGACGAACGAUUCAGAGAUGAUGAGGCCCUUCGGGGCGUC